GGGGCUGUAACUCAGUGGCAGGACAUCUCCUUUGCAUGAAGGAGGUCCUGGUUUCAACCCCCAGCAUCUCCA